GAAUAUUGGACAAUGGGGGGAACCCUGAUCCAGCCAUGCCGCGUGAGUGAUGAAGGCCUUAGGGUUGUAAAGCUCUUUCACCGAUGAAGAUAAUGACGGUAGUCGGAGAAGAAGCCCCGGCUAACUUCGUGCCAGCAGCCGCGGUAAUACGAAGGGGGCUAGCGUUGUUCGGAUUUACUGGGCGUAAAGCGCACGUAGGCGGAUUGGUCAGUUAGAGGUGAAAUCCCGAAGCUCAACUUCGGAACUGCCUUUAAUACUGCCAGUCUCGAGUCCGGAAGAGGUAAGUGGAACUCCUAGUGUAGAGGUGGAAUUCGUAGAUAUUAGGAAGAACACCAGUGGCGAAGGCGGCUUACUGGUCCGGAACUGACGCUGAGGUGCGAAAGCGUGGGGAGCAAACAG
rnacentral:rRNA from 1 species